GCCAAUAGCAGCAUAGUAACUCAACAGGAAUCAGUAUGCCGCGAGCCAUGGAGGGGUGAGGGUGUCGGUCGCUGCCUCGUGGAAGAAAAGCGAGAUAGGACCGAGUCAAGCGGUUCGGAGCUUCGCCUGUGUGUACUGAAGCCUGACAGCGCUGCCAGCCUCCCUGGAACUCUCUCCCACGCGUCACCGAUGAAGUUGUUCGCAGACACCCCCGUGCGCUGGAAUACCUCGCCAGUGGGGACAGAUGGGUAGCCAGCAGGCCAGGCACACACACCCAGGACAGGCCCACAGACAGCUCCGGGUAGAUGGCCUGACGUACGUACACACGCCUUGAUGAGUCCAGCGCCCACACCAGGUGAAGCCGCGCCCCCACAAACACCUGGCAUGGCAGGGAGGGGGUGGAGAGAGAGUGAGAGGGAGAAGGGCUCCACUUGUAUCCAGGCAGGGGGCAGGGCCUUGGCGUGGCAGGGGGUGAGGGGGCCCUGCCGCAUGUACACCCCACCCUGCGUGUCCACCCCCCACACUACCUCUGUGCCGCAGGAGAGGUGGCAUAGCUGGAUAUCACCUGUGGGGUUUGGACAGGAGAGAGAGAGAGAGAGAGAGAGAGAGAGAGAGAGAGAGAGAGAGAGAGAGAGAGAGAGAGAGAGAGAGAGAGAGAGAGAGAGAGAGAGA